rnacentral:lncRNA from 1 species
AUGGAGCUCCUUCCUACACACGCCUUCUCAACUCUGUUCCCAGUUCUUCAAGACAAUUUAGAAGUUUAUUUGGGAUUACAGCAGUUUAUAGUUACUUCAGGGUCAGGGCACAGGCUGAACAUCACCGCAGAGAAUGACUGCCGGCGCUUGCACUGCUCCCUCAGAGACUUGAGCUCCCUGCUCCAGGCUGUGGGUCGCCUAGCUGAGUACUUCAUCGGGGAUGUGUUUGCUGCGAGGUUCAGUGAUGCCCUCACAGUCGUGGAGAGGUUGGUCAAAGUCACUCUGUACGGAUCUCAGAUCAAACUGUACAACAUCGAAACUGCGGUGCCGUCGGUGCUGAAACCCGACCUCAUUGACGUGCACGCACAGUCCCUGGCUGCUCUCCAGGCCUACUCCCACUGGCUGGCGCAGUACUGCAGCGAAGCACACCGGCAGAGCACACAGCAGUUUGUGACGCUCAUCUCCACCACCAUGGACGCAGUCACACCGCUCAUCAGCACCAAGGUCCAGGACAAGUUGCUGCUGUCUGCGUGCCACUUACUGGUCUCCCUGGCCACCACUGUUCGGCCCGUCUUUCUGAUUAGCAUCCCUGCGGUGCAGAAGGUGUUCAACAGGAUCACUGAUGCUUCUGCUCAGAGACUUGUUGAUAAGGCACAGGUGUUGGUCUGCCGUGCACUCUCUAACAUCUUGCUGCUUCCAUGGCCAAACCUUCCCGAGAAUGAGCAGCAGUGGCCCAUGCGCUCUCUCAACCAUGCCAGCCUAAUCUCUGCACUCUCCAGGGACUAUCGCAGCCUGAAGCCCAACACUGUCACCGCACAGAGGAAGGUGCCACUGGAUGACACCAAAGUGAUUAUCCACCAGACACUCGGUGUCUUAGAAGAUAUCGUGGAGAACAUCUCCGGGGAGUCCACCAAGGCCCGACAGAUCUGCUACCAGUCGCUGCAGGAAUCUGUUCAGGUCUCCCUGGCCCUCUUUCCAGCUUUUAUCCAUCAGUCAGAUGUGACUGACGAGAUGUUGAGCUUCUUCCUCACUCUGUUCCGUGGCCUUAGAGUACAGAUGGGUGUGCCUUUCACUGAACAGAUCAUACAGACUUUCCUCAACAUGUUUACCAGAGAACAGUUGGCUGAAAGCAUCCUCCACGAAGGCAGCACUGGCUGCCGGGUAGUGGAGAAGUUCCUGAAGAUCCUGCAGGUGGUGGUACAGGAGCCUGGCCAGGUGUUCAAGCCUUUCCUCCCCAGCAUUAUUGCCCUGUGCAUGGAGCAGGUGUACCCCAUCAUUGCUGAGCGUUCUUCCCCUGAUGUGAAGGCCGAGCUGUUUGAGCUCCUUUUCCGGACGCUCCAUCACAACUGGCGCUACUUCUUUAAGUCCACUGUCCUGGCCAGUGUGCAGAGGGGACUUGGCGAGGAGCAGAUGGAGAAUGAGCCCCAGUUCAGUGCCAUCAUGCAGGCUUUUGGACAGUCCUUUCUCCAGCCAGACAUCCACCUUUUCAAACAAAAUCUGUUCUACUUAGAGACUCUCAACACCAAGCAGAAGCUGUACCACAAGAAGAUCUUCCGGACCACCAUGCUCUUCCAGUUUGUGAACGUCCUGCUCCAGGUCCUGGUUCACAAGUCCCACGACCUCCUGCAAGAGGAGAUUGGCAUCGCCAUUUACAACAUGGCCUCUGUCGACUUCGAUGGCUUCUUUGCAGCCUUCCUUCCAGAGUUCCUGACGAGCUGUGAUGGUGUGGAUGCCAACCAGAAAAAUGUUCUGGGGCGGAAUUUCAAGAUGGAUCGGGACCUGCCCUCGUUCACCCAGAGUGUGCACAGGCUGGUCAACGACCUGCGCUACUACCGGCUCUGCAAUGAUAGUCUGCCUCCUGGCACUGUGAAGCUCUAGCCCACUGCCAAGGGAUGCGCACUGCUGCACAGUGGCCGCACCGCCUGCGCCUCCACCUCCGCCACAGGCGUCGCCAGGGAGGUCUCAGCCCUGAGUGGUGAGACUGGCCUCUGCCCUCCACUGCCCGUCCUGCUGCAGCCCAGUGGAGCCGGCUCCAGGUCCAUCGCUGCUCUGGUUGGUUCCCAGGGCACCACUUGGAGCAGGAAUCCUGGGCCCAGGUACCCCAGGCACCGGGAGAUCCACGGAGCGAUCUGUGCAGAGCAGUCACGGGGCAGAAGCACCAAGGACAGCUUAGGACAGUGCCACCUUCUCACCAUCCGCCUCCCCAGCGCCCUGGGCCAGCUGGCCAGGAGAAGCCAUGCUGGGACUGUUUCUGUGGAGUCUCCCCUCCCUCCACUCCCUCCCCUCCCCUCUGAUUGCCUUGGAGGCUCUGCUCUGCCAGGGAUUUGCAAAGACUCAUGUUUUUGUUCUUGUUUUCUCAUCAUUCCAUUGUGAUACUAAGAAACAAAGCUUAAUGAAAAAUAAAAUGCUUACCUUGUUGUUAUAUAAAGCUGGCGAAGGAGCUUCUUUCUGUCCAGAUCCCGGUAAGGCAGGUGAGGGGCAGAGUGGGCAGAGGGCUGAGGGUGCUCGAGUUGUUUGUCUCUGGGGAGGCCUCACUGGUGUGCGGUCUCUGUGUCAAUCGUCUUCUAGAGGACAUCGCUUGAGUGAAGUGAGUGAGGAGCCGGGUUCCUGUUUCUUGUAUUCCAAGGAGAGAGAGGAGCUGGUCCCAGCAAAGGGACCUCACGGUGACACGUGCACCCGGCCUGCCUGACUGCUGGGCCCAGAG